CUUCCCCAUUCUUCCCUUCCUACCUCCUCCUCUGUUGACUCACGCUAGAUCCCCCAUCCACAGCCGGCACUCUCUGGUGGCCGCCCCUCCCCUUCGCCACCAUUGCCGGCGGACACGCAGGCCCAUGCUCUUCCCCGCCCCGCCCCUUCUUCAUAUCCGAUUCCCGAAGUGCUCGAGGAGGCGCUCGAGCUCGGCAUGCUCGCCGGCGACACCGGGGCCCUGCACUCUCCGUCGCCGCCAUGAGCGUCUCUACCUUCUCCCGCGCGCCAUGAAUCCUCCCUCCCCCCUACUCGAGACGCCAUCAAGUCUGGAGCAGGAGCAGCUGCUACUCCCGACCUCCAGUUCCUUAUUUCCAUGGAUGACCACGAAGACCUCCGCGUGAUGUGCUGCUGCUCGGGGCCCUCCCUAUGCUUCUCCUCGCUCGUACGGGUCCAGGGUUAGCUGCUCAGGGGCCAUGGUGUGUUCCGUGUGGCGCUGCCUUCGCGGCCGCCGCCGUUGCCUUGUUGUGUCUCUGAGGUCCCUGCUCGCCAACUCACAGACGGUUGUUCUCCGACCAGUUAAAAAAGAAUUUUCUGAAGGAGAAGGAGGUGCCGAAGGGGAUGGGAGCAACCAGUCUGAAUCGAAGAGAACUGAUGGCAUGUCCUGCCAUGAAGAAUUUGAAGCGGUCAGAAGACAUAAGAGCCGGGUCCUAAACUAUGUUAAGGCCAUGCUGAUGUGUAAGAGUUUGCGGGUGACAUCCUCCAUGGCAAUCAUAUUCCCUCCAACAUCCUUCAGGCCAUGGCGACCAGAGACACAACUGUAAAUAUAUUAAGUAAGAGCAAUUACCAGAGGUGACUGUUGCUGCUGUUUUGCCGGCAAGAGGCCAUGCAUCUGUGCAUACAGCAGCCACGGACUAAGCAUUCCUUCACAAGCAGUAAGGUGUUCUUGCCCUUGCCUUCCAGCUGUUGCAUGAAUAAAUGACAAAGUAUUAGCAUCACAAGCGAAGAAUAACAGAAAUUGUCUUAUCAAACGAUGGUGCAGUCGGACUAAUAACUAACCAUAGCGGUGAGGUCUUUGCGGUGCAUUCCUGGGCCUAGCGAGUCGAGCACCUGGAUACACUGAAAAUAGGCAUUUUUUAGUUUAGGUCCCAUCUAUACAAACAUCCGUCCUCGAUUGAAUUAAUAGUAAUAUGUACGAAACUGAGGCUCACCAUAUGAUGUUCCAAAUAGGUUGUAGCCCUCUUUAAUACCCAUCUUGGUGCGUCAUCCUGUAUAGAGCUAAAUUCCUUAUCUUAGAGAUGCAUGCAUUCUUUAAGAACAAAAUUCAUGUGUUCAUCAGUAUUUGCUAUGGGAGUAUUGCGUCCAAGUUGGUACGAUUCAAAAGCUACAUCUUGAUGCGUCAUCAUGUAUGGAUCAUUUGUCUGGUCAUUACCCAGGAUAGAAAAUCAUAAGAUUAGUAGAGCAUAACAAUGUAGGUAUUGUAGUAGACGUAGGAUCGGCAAAAGUAAUUUGCAGAUUUUUAGUGUUUUGAGUACCAAGUUCAACAGAGCCUCUCUUAUCAUUAUCCGGCGUAUUUUUCAAGUUGAUUUGAGCCAGUAAAAGGCUCCAUACCUGAACAAAGGAAAGAGAACCCGAAUGUACGAUCAAAUAAACAUUGUCGACACAGUUGCAACAUAAUUAAAUCGACGAACUAACCAUCUUCAAUUGUGCAAUAUGGGUCUCGUACUCUGCUGAGUUGGGGUACCUUAACCCCUGAAAUUUGGACGUUAGGCCCUGCAUUCACCAUUUUUCAACAUAGAAAACCAUUAAUGAGAUGUAAAACGAACGGCUUAUAGCAUUCUGCUGUGCAACUAUUUAUUUUUUAGAACUCUGUUGUCAAAAUUCUAAUCCUGACUAAUGUUG